CGCGGUUAUACAAAAAAUAUAAUUUAAUUGUAUUAAUAUCAAUUAAUUUGUUUAAUUUUUAUUGUGAAAUUUAUUAGGUGAAAUUUUAAAUUUUAUAAAUAUUUUAUAGUUAAUGAUUUUGAGAAAAUUAAUUAAUAAACUAGGAUUAGAUACCCUAUUAUUUUAAUCGUAAAUAUAUUAUUAAAUUAUUAUUAGUUAUAUUCUUGAAAAUUAAAUAAUUUGGCGGUAUUUUAAUCUUUUCAGAGGAACCUGUUCUAUAAAUGAUAAUCCACGAUAAAAUUUACUUUUUUUAUAAGUUUAUAUAUCAUCGUAAUAAAAUAUUUUUAAAGAAUUUAAAUAUUUAUAAUUUUUUAUUAAAAAAUAUAUCAGAUCAAGGUGUAGUUUAUAAAAAAGUAGAAAUGGGUUACAAUAUAUUUUAUUAUAUGAAUUAUUUUUAUUUAGAAAAUAUGAAAACGGAUUUGAAAGUAAAUUUAAUUUAUUAAUUAAAUUGAUUUUAGCUCUMAAAUAUGU
rnacentral:rRNA from 1 species